rnacentral:lncRNA from 1 species
CUCUGAAACCUACCUGUAUAGAACUUCAUGAGGGAAGGUACCAGCAAUUUGGUAGAGAGAGGAUGGUUCUCAAUCAUCUCAAAAAACUUCUGAGUUCUCGGCUGGACAGAGGGGUUGGUCAUAAACAUGACCUCCACCAGUUUGGCCACUAGGAGCUUGUUACAGACCCCUUGAGUCACAACGAUGUAAUAUAAAGGAGGCUACAGAUCUGAAAAAAGAGUUCUGGUUACUCUGCAUCCUGUCGUUUGGAGCCACAAGGAUGAGAGGGCACCUUGCCAGGACCACAUCACUCACAGAGUUCUGUCAGCCACUCAUUCACAUCCUCCAUCGUUGCAUUUAUCCGUGUCUCAUCAUUCGGGAGAGUGAUACGACAUCUCGGGUGGAAUAUGUAAGUGGGGUCAACUGUUUCUAACUUGAUUUUUGUACUUAGUUGUUGCAGAACCCAAAGGAGAUUCAGCAUAAACCCGUCUGUAGACACCAACCGAUCAUCUGCCUGUGACAUAAGUCGCAAAGCAAUUGAAACAAUUGUUAGGCACACAUUUCACAAAUGGACACAACUUUCUAUGAAAGCACAUUCAAAAGUAACGAGGCCCUAAAGCCAGUGACAGGACAUGUGGCUACCACUGUCACUCAGCUAGCAGGUGCUAGCCCAGCGAGGGUCUACCUAUCCAUCAUCAGACUCACUGACCUCUGCAAUAACCCAUAGUCCGUACCAUAUAAUUCACAGUUUAGAGAAGAACUGAAGACCAAAGAAUCAAUGUCAGUAAGUAAAAAUUCAGUAACUAUAGUUGCCUUUUUCUUUCUUACUUCUCAAGAACAGUGUGAGCUGUCCUUCGCCCACAUGAGAGCUUUCCCAUCUUAAACAGUGAGCAUAGUCCUGUGUGAAUAACAGAGGUUCAGUGAUCACAACACUCAGAACUGUUCUAAUGGUUUACAUGCAAAAGGCUCACAAAGUAACUGUCACUCUUAAGCCCACUUAGCAAAUGAAGAGACUGAGGCACAGAGAAGUAACUCAGGUAUGGCCACCUUACAGACUCCAUGGGGCAAAAGUCAGCUGGAAACCUACAGAAUUACAGGGAACAUGAUGGGAUUUUUGCACAUGAUUUCUUUUGACUGUGUAGUUCUUCGCUGUUGAGUUAUGGGUGACACUAAGAUGUGACAAUGUCAACAGAUGACAUACCAGAAUACUAAUGAGUGUCAAAAGACACUGGGAUUUUGCAAUUCUUCAUACUUUUAGUUUUUGGAUUCCAAGAUCUUGUUACUAUAAACAGUCUACAACUUUAAUUCUCCCACUGUUGCCAGGAACACUGGCAUCAUGAGUGCUUCCUCAGGUCUGUUUACAACCCCAGUCCCUGUCAUUUCAUGGCUGACACAUGUUCCUUUCCGUGGAUUCUACUGCAGUCCUUGUUGGUAAACCGUGGCCAGACUCAAGAGCAUGGUUUCUUCUGUUACCUGCCCAUGUCCCCCGAGUCACAAAGGAACUGUGUGAGCUGGGCUUGAUAUAAAGCUGGCUCAUUUCUAACCUAACACAAGAUCACAAGGAGGGCUCUUUUCUCAGCCUUGUAAGGAGCCGCUCUUCAGUCGAAACUUUAAUACAAGGCUACUUUGCUGCCUGAUCAACGGCCACCCCUGUGCUGCUGUUCCAGCACUCUGCAAGCAUGCCUGAAUGCCGUGCUUGCACGUCCACCCCUGCCCGAGACCUCGGGCUGCACAGAAGCAGGAUGCUUGCCCGUCUUGUUCCAUGCUGCCUUCCCAACCCCCAGAACGCAGCCUGGGAGGUGCCAAGUCACAUCUGCACUGGAGAAACAGGUUUCAUGAGUAACUGAAAGCACUUGGGGACUCCUACCUGCAUCUGGGCUUUCUUCAUGUUGGCAUUGACAAGGGCCGCCAUGUAGCUGAGAGCUGCUUCACGAGUUUCGCCAUUUAACAAAAUACUAUGUAGAAUCUUGAAAAGUUCUUGCUAAAUUAUUUUCAAAAUGAAAAAA